GUUAAUAAGCUUAAAUAGCAAUUGUUUUGAAAACAUUAGAU
rnacentral:tRNA from 1 species